UCGAACGAACUCUGGUAUUGAUUGGUGCUUGCAUCAUGAUUUACAUUUGAGUGAGUGGCGAACUGGUGAGUAACACGUGGGAAACCUGCCCAGAAGCGGGGGAUAACACCUGGAAACAGAUGCUAAUACCGCAUAACAACUUGGACCGCAUGGUCCGAGUUUGAAAGAUGGCUUCGGCUAUCACUUUUGGAUGGUCCCGCGGCGUAUUAGCUAGAUGGUGGGGUAACGGCUCACCAUGGCAAUGAUACGUAGCCGACCUGAGAGGGUAAUCGGCCACAUUGGGACUGAGACACGGCCCAAACUCCUACGGGAGGCAGCAGUAGGGAAUCUUCCACAAUGGACGAAAGUCUGAUGGAGCAACGCCGCGUGAGUGAAGAAGGGUUUCGGCUCGUAAAACUCUGUUGUUAAAGAAGAACAUAUCUGAGAGUAACUGUUCAGGUAUUGACGGUAUUUAACCAGAAAGCCACGGCUAACUACGUGCCAGCAGCCGCGGUAAUACGUAGGUGGCAAGCGUUGUCCGGAUUUAUUGGGCGUAAAGCGAGCGCAGGCGGUUUUUUAAGUCUGAUGUGAAAGCCUUCGGCUCAACCGAAGAAGUGCAUCGGAAACUGGGAAACUUGAGUGCAGAAGAGGACAGUGGAACUCCAUGUGUAGCGGUGAAAUGCGUAGAUAUAUGGAAGAACACCAGUGGCGAAGGCGGCUGUCUGGUCUGUAACUGACGCUGAGGCUCGAAAGUAUGGGUAGCAAACAGGAUUAGAUACCCUGGUAGUCCAUACCGUAAACGAUGAAUGCUAAGUGUUGGAGGGUUUCCGCCCUUCAGUGCUGCAGCUAACGCAUUAAGCAUUCCGCCUGGGGAGUACGGCCGCAAGGCUGAAACUCAAAGGAAUUGACGGGGGCCCGCACAAGCGGUGGAGCAUGUGGUUUAAUUCGAAGCUACGCGAAGAACCUUACCAGGUCUUGACAUACUAUGCAAAUCUAAGAGAUUAGACGUUCCCUUCGGGGACAUGGAUACAGGUGGUGCAUGGUUGUCGUCAGCUCGUGUCGUGAGAUGUUGGGUUAAGUCCCGCAACGAGCGCAACCCUUAUUAUCAGUUGCCAGCAUUAAGUUGGGCACUCUGGUGAGACUGCCGGUGACAAACCGGAGGAAGGUGGGGAUGACGUCAAAUCAUCAUGCCCCUUAUGACCUGGGCUACACACGUGCUACAAUGGAUGGUACAACGAGUUGCGAACUCGCGAGAGUAAGCUAAUCUCUUAAAGCCAUUCUCAGUUCGGAUUGUAGGCUGCAACUCGCCUACAUGAAGUCGGAAUCGCUAGUAAUCGCGGAUCAGCAUGCCGCGGUGAAUACGUUCCCGGGCCUUGUACACACCGCCCGUCACACCAUGAGAGUUUGUAACACCCAAAGUCGGUGGGGUAACCUUUUAGGAACCA
rnacentral:rRNA from 1 species